CAUAACCAAAAAUGAUUAAAGGGUUUAACGUAGGAGCUGAGAUAAUUCUAACAUCUCCACCACCUGGAGCCCACGUAUCGUAAACACCACCAACGAAACAAGCUUUGGCAACAAGUAGGAAACAACCAAUACCUAAUAAAAUUAGGUGGAUUCCUAAAAUUGUUGUCAUUUUGUUCUUAUCACGCCA
rfam:Emiliania huxleyi strain CCMP 373 chloroplast, complete genome.